AGAGUUUGAUCAUGGCUCAGGACGAACGCUGGCGGCGUGCUUAACACAUGCAAGUCGAGCGGAAAGGCCCUUUCGGGGUACUCGAGCGGCGAACGGGUGAGUAACACGUGAGUAAUCUGCCCUUUAGCUCUGGGAUAGCUCCGGGAAACCGGGAUUAAUACCAGAUAUGACCACAUUAGACAUCUGAUGUGGUGGAAAGGAUUCCGGCUAGGGAUGAGCUCGCGGCCUAUCAGCUUGUUGGUGGGGUAACGGCCUACCAAGGCGACGACGGGUAGCCGGCCUGAGAGGGCGACCGGCCACACUGGGACUGAGACACGGCCCAGACUCCUACGGGAGGCAGCAGUGGGGAAUAUUGCGCAAUGGGCGAAAGCCUGACGCAGCGACGCCGCGUGGGGGAUGAAGGCCUUCGGGUUGUAAACCCCUUUCAGCAGGGACGAAGCGAAAGUGACAGUACCUGCAGAAGAAGCGCCGGCUAACUACGUGCCAGCAGCCGCGGUAACACGUAGGGCGCAAGCGUUGUCCGGAAUUAUUGGGCGUAAAGAGCUCGUAGGCGGUCUGUUGCGUCCGCUGUGAAAUCUCGGGGCUUAACCCCGAGCCUGCAGUGGAUACGGGCAGACUAGAGGUAGGUAGGGGAGAAUGGAAUUCCCGGUGUAGCGGUGAAAUGCGCAGAUAUCGGGAGGAACACCGGUGGCGAAGGCGGUUCUCUGGGCCUUACCUGACGCUGAGGAGCGAAAGCGUGGGGAGCGAACAGGAUUAGAUACCCUGGUAGUCCACGCCGUAAACGUUGGGCGCUAGGUGUGGGAUCCUUCCACGGAUUCCGUGC
rnacentral:rRNA from 1 species